UACGUAGGGGGCAAGCGUUGUCCGGAAUCAUUGGGCGUAAAGAGCGUGUAGGCGGCCCGAUAAGUCCGCUGUGAAAGUCCAGGGCUCAACCCUGGGAUGCCGGUGGAUACUGUCGGGCUCGAGUCCGGAAGAGGAGUGUGGAAUUCCUGGUGUAGCGGUGAAAUGCGCAGAUAUCAGGAGGAACACCAAUAGCGAAGGCAGCUCGCUGGGACGUAACUGACACUGAGGCGCGAAAGCGUGGGGAGCGAACAGG
rnacentral:rRNA from 1 species